CAUCAAUAUGGUGACCCGUGGGGAGCUGCGGGACACCAGGUUGACUAAAGAGGGGUGAACCGGCCCAGGUCGGAGACGGAGUAGGUCAAAGCUCCCGUG
rnacentral:SRP_RNA from 1 species